UACGGAGGGUGCAAGCGUUGUUCGGAAUCAUUGGGCGUAAAGCGCGUGUAGGCGGUUUCCUAAGUCUGAUGUGAAAGCCCGGGGCUCAACCCCGGAAGUGCAUUGGAUACUGGGUCACUAGAGGGCGAGAGAGGGAAGCGGAAUUCCUGGUGUAGGGGUGAAAUCCGUAGAUAUCAGGAGGAACACCGGAAGCGAAGGCGGCUUCCUGGCUCGCAUCUGACGCUGAGACGCGAAAGCGUGGGGAGCAAACAGG
rnacentral:rRNA from 1 species